GACGAACGCUGGCGGCGUGCUUAACACAUGCAAGUCGAACGAAGUGGCGAACGGGUGAGUAACGCGUAAACAACCUGCCCUUCAGAGGGGGACAACAGUUGGAAACGACUUCUAAUACCGCAUACUGAAGGAGGGGUUUUCGGGGGAUUAGCUAGCUGGGGGGGUAACGGCCGACCAAGGCGAUGAUCAGUUGGCGGGCUGGCAGGAUGAACGGCGACACUGGGAACGAGACACGGCCCAGACUCCUACGGGAGGCAGCAGUGGGGAAUCUUCCGGAAAGGGCGAAAGUCGUACGGGGCAACGCCGCGUGAGUGAUGACGGGCUUCGGGUUGUAAAGGUCUGUUAAUCGGGACGCGGUACCGGAAUAGAAAGCCACGGCUAACUACGUGCCAGCAGCCGCGGUAAUUC
rnacentral:rRNA from 1 species